rnacentral:rRNA from 1 species
CGGGUGAGUAACACGUGGGUAACCUUCCCUUCGGUGGGGGAUACCCCUGCGAAAGCGGGACUAAUACAGCAUAAGACUCCCUGGGUUAGCUCUGAUGGUUUCAAAGCAUCCAUGCUCCGGAAGAGGGGCCCGCGGCCAAUGAACUGGUUGGCGAGGUAACGGCUCACCAAGGCUAAUAUCGGUAGCCGGUCUGAGAGGAUGAUCGGUCACACUGGAACUGAUACACAGUCCACACUCCUACGGGAGGCACCAGUGGG